ensembl:snoRNA small nucleolar RNA SNORA55
GCACUCCAGCAAACUCUGCCUCUGCCUUCAUGCUGAGCCAGGGCAAAAACUGUGCUACAGUGACUCAAAGUGUAUCCAGAUGAGCCUUCAGAAUCAUUGGGGCUUGUCCCUACAACUUUGACACAUUG